CAGCCACCUCCUGCUGGAAGGUCCCAGGGACCACCAUCCCCUCCUCAAGGGGGCAGACCCGCCGGACCUCCCCAGGGACAGUCUCCCCAGUAAUCUAGGAUUCAGUGACUGGAAGUGAAAAAGAAGAUGACAGUGAUUCAAAUGAUUCAAAUGCCAUGAAAUUGGACGAAGGUGGUCGUAGCUCUAACUUCAAUAUACCAAUAAAAUAAUCAGCUUGCAA